rnacentral:misc_RNA from 1 species
CAGAGUUCUCGCCCUCGCGGGUAGAUCUCCCACCCACUGUUAUUGCUACCGUGUUGCUUUGGCGGGCUGCUGGGCCUAGCCCGGCCGCCGGCUGGUACGCGCCCGCCAGAGGACCCCAAACUCUGAAUGUUAGUGUCGUCUGAGUACUAUACAAUAGUUA